NNGUACUUCGCCAUACGAACUGUAAGUCCAAGGCGGCGGAUCCAGCUUUCAGGGACCCCUCCUCAUCCAUUCACCCGAACACCCGAAGAGACGGAGGGUUCGGCAAUCGCCACCAAUCCAGCGUGCGAAUCUGGUCCAUCAACUGUGACCUCAACUCCACAUCUCAGCAGCUAGCCAUAAUCUCGCGCUCCCGACUAAUUCGGGGGUCUCCCCAGGAAUCGAACCCAGGACCUUAAACCGCUAAUUGCAGUAGUGUCAACCCAGACCAGACCAGUCUUGGUAUCUCAUCUUCGGAUGGAUCGGUAUUCCUUCAUAGGAAUCUCCUAAAGUCUUCUUGCCGUUCACCACUAACCCACAGACUAUAAAUGAUCUAGAACUGACAAUGUGAUAAAGCGGCCCAGAAGCCUCCCACUCUGUAACAUUACAUUACAUUACAUUACAUUACAUUACCAAGACUUGCAUAACUUGUGUCUUAUAUACCAGUACCAAUGGAAGUAUCGUACAGAUGUCCACCAUCCCUGGACCUGAGGACACGUCCGAGGCACAGCCGAGGCACAGCCGAGGCACAGCCGAGGCAAGGUCGAGGCAAGGUCGAGGCACGGCCCACCAAUAACUACCAGUUAUGCAUCGGCAGUCCCAUAAGAUGCGGGAUAAGACUCCCCACAUGUCUCCCACAGACCCGAGGUCAAAUCCCCUGUCCGAAAAUACUCGAAUUGGGAUAAGUAUCUUUCCGGAAUAAGAAUCAGCGUCAGCCGUCACCGUCGCCAAUCCUCCAAUAGGUUACGAGCCCCGAGUAGCGCCGACAGCUAUCGUCUGAUUGUUAUUUCUAUCCCUUAUCGACAAUGGUCAAGGAUAAGCUUGAUGAGCCGCUGGACCUCCACAAGUACUCCACGUGGCAAAUCCGGUUUAGCGUAUUGUGCAUGGAGCUUGGGCUUGAGCAGUCUUUGCUCGCCGAACCGUGUAACGAGGAGCAGAUUCGUCAAUCGCGGAAAGUCAUCAAUCUGCUUAUCAAGAACGUCAAGGGAUCACCAUUUGCCGAUGGUCACCGGUGCCGCCAACGCGAAGAAGGCUUGGGAUGCCUUGAACUCGAUGUUCGCUGCCAACAACAGGCAGGUGGCUGGCAGAGGUUAAGGCCUGGCUUCUGCUCCCGUCGCGUCCCGGCGCGUCCGGGUUCAAAUCCGCAUGCCGACCUCUCGGGGUGUUUGAGAGGUGGGAGGUGGCCCCCCAUGGGAGGUGGCCCCCCAUCUUAUGGACGGUGUAGGACGUGAUAAAAUCAACUCGCGAGCUGACCAGGAACUAAGUUGACGCGCCGUUGAUCCGCUAGAUUUGGUUGGAUGCUGGUGGUGAGUUGCCAAACUCAAAGAGUACACUCUGAAGUCGGAUGGGGUGAAUGGCUUAGGGUGCCCCUCUAGCAGGGGAGAGCAGGGAAUUGCCUCGGGAAGGAGGCCACUGGUGAAGCUUAACCACCCUGUAACAACAUCAACAACGGUGAAGCUUAACCACCCUGUAACAACAUCAACAACGCCCGCAAGGUGGCUCUACGCCAAGAAUUAAGCCGCUUCAAGAUGGUCGAUGGCGAGCCACUUCCGAAGUAUUUCGCGCGUGCGAGGCAGCUGCAAACGGACUUGUUGGGUGUCGGACACGUAAUCAACGACUCCGAGCUGGCGUAUACCGUCCUAGUUGGUCUACCCAAUCGGUACAGUGUGGUGACGACAACACUACUGAUGCGUGACGGUGAUUUGGACAUGGCGAACGUCACAUCAAAGUAUCGAGACGGCAAACGGUGGGUCAGGCAAAUCUACCGAGUCGGCAGUGUUUGCAUCUGUCGGCGGUUCAAUGUUCGGCGCUUCUAGCAGUCGUCAAUUUCUGGAUAUAAGGGUGGCUACAACAACAGUGGCAGCAGAGCUAGUGGCAGCAAGCCAGGAUCCAGUGGAUCAGCUAGGGAGCCAGGUGUUCCGCGGCAGGUAGCGUUCGUAGCAUACAACAACGAGCGUCCGACAGAAUGGUUUCUGGACUCCGCAUCUACUCACCAUGUAACUUACACCCGAUCCGAACUAUUCAAUGUACGUGUGUUGGAGCCUUGGGAACGCUUCAGCAUUGUGGGCAUUAAGGGCCAGUCACUGCGUCCGACAGAGGUUGGAUCACUUACCAUUCGAUCUAAUGUCAACGACAAUCAAGCCAUCACAUUCAAAAGGGUCUACAUUGACGAGGAGGCGAUGGUAAAGAUUUUAUCCGUCCGUAUCAUCGACGAUCGCGGAGGUUGCGUCGUCUUCGGUGACGGUCAAGUAAAGGUAUACCUGCAAAAUCAUUUAGUGUUGACCGGUGAACGGGACGGUGAUCUCUACCCCACUUGCUAUCGAGGUGGAAGUACAGGCACCAUCAGGAGGACACAGAAUACGAGCUACUGUGACAACGGACAUGGUACAACGUGCACGGCCGUGGAUUCCAACACUUUGGCAUCGGCGUUACGGACAUCUGGGCUACAGCAACCUCGAGGCGUUGCUGCGCCACAAUAUGGUAAUGGGAUUUGACGUCGACCAGCACAGCUUUCAGAAAGCCAGUAUGUGUGUUUGUGAGACCUGCGUUUUUGCAAAGCAGACACGAGGUCCUUUCCGCUGACACAAGGCAGCCAAGCCACUAGCACUAGUUCACAUGGAUGUGUGUGGACCUAUGCCUGAACCUUCGCCUAGUGGUUCGCGUUACGUGACAACUCUGCUUGACGAUCAUACCGGUCUUUCAGCUGUUGCGUUUACAGCGACCAAGGAGGAGGUCUAUCAGAAGAUGGUGGUAAUGAUAGCGGAACUGCAGCGCGCUUCUGGCAGGCAGGCGCUUAAGGAGGUGCGUACGGAUCGUGGCGGGGAGUUCAUUAAUACUCGCACGAAGGGCUAUUUCGCGUCCAGGGGUAUUGUACACGGAACUACGGUAGGCUAUAUAUAGGCUAUAUAGGCUAUAUACCCCUGAGCAAAACGGAGCUGCGGAACGUUUGAAUCGCACUCUCCUAGACAAAACCAGCGCUAUGCUUGUCGAGUCCGGACUACCUAAGUCAUUAUGGGCGGAAGCAUUGGCGACAGCCAAUUACCUCAGGAAUGUGUCGCCAACUGCUGGGUCAACUGUCACACCAUAGGAAGCUUUCUUGAACGUCCGUCCUUACGUCAGUCACCUUCGAGUUUUUGGGUGCGUCGCCUACAUCCACGUACCUGACAUCAAACGCGACAAGUUCGAUCCGGUGAGCAGGCGUGGUAUACUUGUUGGUUACGGGAACGGAGGACAGUACCGUGUGCUGUACGAGGACGGCAGUAGUUUCUAACGUUCGCUUUGAUGAGUCUAACGUCGGCCGGCGGCGUAAUGCCGGGGACUCCGAUUAUGAGUCCAAUGCUGACGAGGAGGAGGAUUUUCGCACUAGUUUGCCUGGUGAGGGAUCGCUGCCUAGGGCUGGCAAAGGGAAACCAGGCAGCACUGUCGGCGAGGGACCGCCGCACUUGGGUGGCGAGGGGGCGCCGGCUGGGGCUGGACCUUCCAGCAGUGCGAACGGGCAAGGAAUCAAUCAGCCUGAUGUGGAAAUGGCGGGAACUAGGUAUCCAGUUAGAGAACGUAAACGCUGCUUUCUCUGCUGGUAUUCCUGAACCUUAUUCGUUUGCUUCAGAUCCACAUGCAGACGACUGGCGGCGUGCGAUGGAUGAGGCCACUCAGAUGGCCAAGGGAGCUUAAGAAGCCGCCGCCUGGUACACGUUUACUGCCUUGUCGGUGGGUGUAUAAGGUGAAGCAUGAUGCAGACGGUAAUGUGGAGCGCUUUAAGGCGCGUUUAGUUGCAAAGGGUUUCGAACAACGCGAGGGGAUUGAUUAUGGGGAGUUGUUUGCCCCUACCUCUCGUGGUUCAUCUUUACGUGCUUAAAUAGCAGUUGCCGCAGCGCGGAACAUGACAGUGCACCAGCUCGAUGUGUCUACUGCGUUUUUGAACGGUGAGCUGACCGGUCGCUUGCGUGCAAGCUGCAGAGGUCUAUUUACGGUUUGAAGCAGGCACCCCGUUGCUGGUAUGAAAAGCUAUCAGCAGAGUUCGCCAAGCUGGGUCUUUAUCCUUCGAAGUCUGAUCCGGCGAUGUUCGUUAAGACGGACGAGCGUGGGGUUGUUAUUGCUUUGGUGCAUGUAGAUGACACCAUUGUUGCGUCAGAAGACCCGGAAUGGUCCGGGCAAUUAAAGUCGCAAUUGCGAAAGUCUUCAAGGUGCGUGACCUUGGAGAAGCGAAGGUGUUUUGGGGUAUGGAGAUAGGAGGGAGAAGUCGGGUGAGAUAGUGUUGUCGCAGCAUAGGUAUAUUGAGCAGCUGUUGGAGCGUCAUAGGAUGGUUGACGCCAAGCCGAGAUCUACCCCUUUGCCUCCGGGCUUUAGGUACACUCCUAAGGAGGACGGAGAGGAGCUGCUGGGCAAUGGUGGGAGGAUUGAACUAUCUGGCGACGAACAUGCGGCCUGACAUUUCGUAUGCAUUGAGCGUCUUGUCCCGGCAUAUGGCCACACCUACGAAGACAGCCAUGAACUUGGCCACUGGCGUUCUGCGUUACCUGGCGGGUACUCGCGAACUAGGAUUGCGUUUUGGGGGUGUUGGCGGUGUUGCAAUGUCCGGGUAUAGCGAUUCUGGCUGGGCAGGAGACCCAGUUACGCGGUGUUCUACGUCCGGUUACGUAUUCACUCUUAAUGGGGCUGCGAUUAGCUGGAGCAGCCAACGUCAACGUACUGUGGCGGCUUCGUCGGUGGAGGCCGAGUACCAAGCUACAGCGGCGGCUGUUCGUGAAGCUUUGUGGCUUCGCACGCUGAUGGUCGAUUUGGGCUUGCCUGAGAGCGCGGUGAAAAUCCAGAUAGACUCCCAGGGGGCGCUUAGCUUGGGAAAUAAUCCGAUUACGUCUGCUCGGUCGAAACACAUCGACGUGCAGCAUCGACCUUGCCUCGACCUUGCCUCGGCCGUGCCUCGACCUUGCCUCGACUGUGCCUCGACCUUGCCUUGGGUCUCUCGGCCGCGUAUCUCGGACGUGUCCUUAGGUCCAGGGAUGGUGGACAUCGUACGAUACUUCCAUAGGUACUGGUAUAUAAGACACGAGUUAUGCAAGUCUUAGAAUCUCAUCUUUGGAUGGAUCGGUAUUUCUUCAUAGGAAUCUCCUAAAGUCUUUUUGCCGUUCACCACUAACCCACAGGCUGUAACCCUUAUAUCGCGACCAGUCUCCAUGCCUUCAUAUUCUUAACAAACCGCCGACAAAUGCAAACGCUGCCGACUCUGUAGAUUUGCCUGACCCACAGUUUGCCGUCUCGAUAGCUAAAAGCUUCGAUGUGACGUUCGCCAUGUACAAAUCGCCGUCACGCAUUUGUAGUGUUGUCGUCACCACGCUGUACCGAUUGGGUAGACCAACAUGGACGGUAUGCGCCAGCUCGGUGUCGUUGAUUACGUGGCCGACACCCAACAAGUCCGUUUGUAGCUGCCUCGCACGCACGAAAUGAGUGGCUCGCCGUCGGAAGUGGCUCGCCGUUGACCAUCUUUAAGCGGCUGAAUUCUUGUCGUAGAGCCACCUUGCGGGCGUUGUUAUUGGCAGCGAACAUCGAGUUCAAGGCAUCCCAAGCCUUCUUCGCGUUGGCGGCACCGGUGACCAUCGGCAAAUGGUGAUCCUUCACGUUCUUGAUAAGCAAGUUGAUGACUUUCCGUGAUUGACGAAUCUGCUCCUCGUUGCACGGCUCGGCGAGCAAAGACUGCUCAAGCCCAAGCUCCAUGCACAUCGCGCUAAACCGGAUUUGCCACGUGGAGUAGUUGUGGAGGUCCAGCGGCUCAUCAAGCUUAUCCAUGACCAUUGUCGAUAAGGGAUAGAAAUAACAAUCAGACGAUAGCUGUCGGCGCUACUCGGGGCUCAUAACCUAUUAAGACCAGCAAAGCGCCGGACCCCCGUUGGGUCCUAUUACUGUGGCUACCAUUCACUGGUAUAUGAGUGUCGGUCAUUUCCAACAAGCUUGCUAUUCGCCGAACGUGGGAUAAACAUUUUGAUGUGUGGGAGCACCUCCUUCCUGCCCGCUUGCUCGGCCGCCAGCCCUAUCCAAUGCUUAUACUUCGCCAUGUGGAUUCCUGGUUGCUUGCACUCUGAAGGAUACAUGUCAGGCUGGACAUCUAAACGCGUAUGCUUCCAACCACUCAUUAAUCGGUCCUUGAACUCCAAAAUCACACCUUCUAUGUAAUGUGUAAUGUUACAGAGUGAGAGGCUUCUGGGCCGCUUUAUCACAUUGUCAGUUCUACGAUCAUUUAUCACCUUAUAGCACCAUCCACCACUACCACACUGUACUUCGCCAUACGAACUGGAAGUCCAAGGCGGCGGAUCCAGCCUUCGGGGACCCCUCCUCAUCCAUUCACCCGAACACCCGAAGAGACGGAGGGUUCGGCAAUCGCCACCAAUCCAGCGUGCGAAUCUGGUCCAUCAACUGUGACCUCAACUUCACAUCUCAGCAGCUAGCCAUAAUCUCGCGCUCCCGACUAAUUUGGGGGUCUACCCAGGAAUCGAAUCCAGGACCUUAUACCGCUAAUUGCAGUAGUGUCAACCCAGACAAGACCUUCUGGCAUUGGCCUGUUCAUCAGCCACUCCACUCGUUCGUCUACCUCGUGUAGCCCUUGCGGGGCCUCUUUCAUCGUGCCCCAAAAAACAUAGAAAACGGAGGAGUAGUGUCCCCCAUCCGGCCCCUUCGGGGUUGGAGAGGGAUUCUGCGACCUCCUGUCGUAAAACUUGGUAUGCCACAGACCCACGCUGUAAACGGACAUGGUUCCAAAACCUCACAACCUGCUUGAGAACGUGGUAGUGCAGGGGUAGCUGCGACAGCUCUGCGAACAGGAGGUGGUGUGUUGGUCUGGCAGCUCCUACAAUUUGCCGCAUGAAAGAUAUCUGAAGCUGCACUGCCCUGUCCUUUAGGCAUGCCUUGGAGGGCCCCUCUGCCCUUAUUCGCCUCACUCCGCUUCCUGAUCCUGUCCGAGACCUC
rnacentral:lncRNA from 1 species